rnacentral:tRNA from 1 species
GCUCUAGGUUGUAGUAUAGUGGUGAGUAUUCCCGCCUGUCACGUGGGUGACCCGGGUUCGAUCCCCGGCAACGGCG